ACAUGCUUACAACAUAGUGUUAAUGCACCAAAUCCCAUUAGAACUCUACAAUUAAGCACACUCAGGCUAAAGUAGUACCUGGAUGGGUGAUCGCCCAGGAAGUCAUAGUGUUUGACAUGCC
rfam:Picea glauca, whole genome shotgun sequence.